rnacentral:rRNA from 1 species
GACGAACGCUGGCGGCGUGCUUAACACAUGCAAGUCGAACGGAAAGGCCCUGCUUUUGUGGGGUGCUCGAGUGGCGAACGGGUGAGUAACACGUGAGUAACCUGCCCUUGACUUUGGGAUAACUUCAGGAAACUGGGGCUAAUACCGGAUAGGAGCUCCUGCUGCAUGGUGGGGGUUGGAAAGUUUCGGCGGUUGGGGAUGGACUCGCGGCUUAUCAGCUUGUUGGUGGGGUAGUGGCUUACCAAGGCUUUGACGGGUAGCCGGCCUGAGAGGGUGACCGGCCACAAUGGGCCUGAGAUACGGCCCAGACUCCUACGGGAGGCAGCAGUGGGGAAUCUUGCACAAUGGGCGGAAGCCUGAUGCAGCAACGCCGCGUGCGGGAUGACGGCCUUCGGGUUGUAAACCGCUUUCGCCUGUGACGAAGCGUGAGUGACGGUAAUGGGUAAAGAAGCACCGGCUAACUACGUG